UUCAAGAUAAUAAAUUUUCAAGUUUAAUUCUAUUAAAUUUUAGGAAACUGAUUCAUAUCUUGAUAUAAUUAUAAAAAAUUAAAAUUAUCAAAAUAUAAUGCAUAUAAUAUGUAUUAUAAUUUGUAUUUGACUUUUAAUAGAUUGUGACUUAUUUGAUUCAUUGUACGAGAGAUCUUCUACAAAGGGGAAGGAAGAAAAAUUGAUGUGGCAUUCUUAUUUUUAAAAUCAUAUCAAGUUUUUUUUUUUUAUCUUUUUUGAAUUAUUAGUUUUUUAGUCAUCUUUGGAAGAAAGAAUUCUCUUUUGUUCUCCCAUAUCUUACUUUUAAGCAUCUCAUCAUCGUAGAUCUAAAAUCAGUAAAAGGGUGAGAAAGAGGAAGAACAGAUUCCUGAGUGGGUUUGACUUAUACGUAUACUUUUCCUCGAAUAUUGUUUUUAGAAGUGGAUUUCUCGACCACUUUGAUUUCUUGUUCGUUUGUGAUGGAUUUGCCUGGCUUUCGGUUCUAGAAGAUUCCAAUUUCGAUUUUAAAUUAAAAUCUUUUUUUAUAUUAAUGUUUAAAUUUUCAUCAAAGCUUAUACAGUUAUAUAUACCUAAUGACAUAAAUUAAGUAAUCCCCCCCCCCCCCCCCCCAAUGGCCGUCAAAUGUUCUGAUUAUUCCUCUCGUCAGUAGAUCAAAUAUUUUUUUUUUAUAUAUAUCUUCCACUCAACUUUUAGUUCAAUCAUCAAAAUCUACCUUCAACUCAACUUUAGUUGAAUCAUCAAUACAUGGCUCCCAAUUAAUUCAGGGGUCAUACCGAUUUCAUAGUUUCUAAAUUUUAUUUUAGAUUAGUUAAUAAAAUUGACAAUGUUAUUAAAUGUAUCUGCUACUUUACAGAAACUGGUUGUGUAAUGAUUCUGUUGCCAGCAUCCUAACCAUGAUUUCAAAUGCCUUAAUUCACAUUCUACUACAAUUAAGCAGCUGGUCUCAGAUCCUGGAAACAAUUCCUCUGCCAAAUGUAAGUGGAAACACGUUCUCCUUAAUUAGUAUCUUUUAUCUCUUAUUUCCUAAUCUGUCCUAUGGAAAGCAGAGUUGAUCAUAACUUGUUUAUUAAUCAUUUGGCUGUUGGAUAGGCAUCCAUUUGUGCUAUUGCAGGUCAAGUGGAUAUUAUUGGUGGAUUUCCCUGCACAGCAUGUAACCAUCUGUCUUAGUCAUAAAGAACAUACAGAUAAUAUAACAUGGAUUCUCUCUCUCUCUCUCUCUCUCCACAUCUUGGCUGAACCUUGUGUAUCUAUAUCCUUGUCUAUAUUGUUUCUCAUAGGGUUUGAUGUUGGAGACCUCUCAGAUGAUGGUCCUGUGUUUUGAUGGAAUGGAUGCUUUCAGCAGCACACACUGCAAAAAACCUUUUGUCAGCCGAGCCAGCUGAUGGUAUCUUCUUGUUGUUGUAUGGGUCAUAUACUUGUAUUGAUUUCCAGUACUAGUUUCUCUUUCCAUUCAACUUUGAGAGCUUUAAACACCAAAAAAACCUUUAACUCUAUUGCCAAUGAGAAUUUAAACACACACACAUAUUUGUGAACAGAUAGUAAACUCAUAUGAUAGAAUGCUGGACAUGAUGCUUAAUCUUUGUUUGGUUACUUCGAUUGUCACUCAAAAACUUGGCAUUGGUGGGUUCAGUAUGGGUGCUGCAACUGCAUUGUACCCUGCCACUUGCUUCACACAUGGAAAAUACGAAAAUGGCAGUCUAUAGACUCUAUACCCCAUAAACUUCAGUGCAGUCAUUGGCCUCAGUGGCUGGCUUCCAUGCUCAAGGUCUGUUCUAUCUUAAAAUGUCCAAUGUUUGAUCUAUGAAAAUAUCACAUCUAUCGAAUUCUCGGCAUGUGAAUAAAAAAUGCAAGAAAAUAUGCAUGUUCCACUCACCCAGGAGCUUGAACACUAAGGUGGAAAGCUCACAUGAUGCUGCAAGGUGAGCUGCCUCCUUGCCAGUUCCAUUGUGUCAUGGAAGAGGUACCUUCUCUGUCACAGAAGAACAUGAUUAGAUAACUUCGAUAUGCAGUUAUCUUGCAAUAAAUGUGGAGAAGAAUUGAUAAGCCAAAAGAUGUGAACGUUACUGUUUGAUUCGUUUUGCCAUACCAACAGGAGCUCAGAAUCCUGAUUUGGAUGCACACAAUUUACCAUGAGUUUGUUUCAGGUGAUGGAGUGGUUCCGUAUAAACACGGGAAAAUUCUGGAGAGGUUCUAAGAGUGUUUGGGUUCAGAAAUCUCACGUUCAAGACCUUUUACAAUGGACUCGAACACUGCACAAUACCAGAAGAAAUGGAUACUGUCUGCAAGUGGCUCACAGCAAGGCUGCAGCUUGAUGGGUCUCACAGAAAGUAUAUCCAAUUAGUGCAUUAAAUAUGUAGAAUUUGUAUGUAUAUAAAUGUAUUCGGGAGUAUGUCAUUCUGAUACUAUUGCUUGAGUGGUCUAAUAGCUUGAUAGAUAUGCUGCAUCCUACACUGUCUUCCCAGUUCUUGUCCAUAAAUCCAGCCAGAAUUCAUUUGCUCUUCA